rnacentral:rRNA from 1 species
AACGAACGCUGGCGGCAGGCCUAACACAUGCAAGUCGAGCGCGCCCUUCGGGGUGAGCGGCGGACGGGUGAGUAACGCGUGGGAACGUGCCCUUUUCUACGGAAUAGCCUCGGGAAAAUGAGAGUAAUACCGUAUACGCCCUUUGGGGGAAAGAUUUAUCGGAAAAGGAUCGGCCCGCGUUGGAUUAGGUAGUUGGUGGGGUAAUGGCCUACCAAGCCGACGAUCCAUAGCUGGUUUGAGAGGAUGAUCAGCCACACUGGGACUGAGACACGGCCCAGACUCCUACGGGAGGCAGCAGUGGGGAAUCUUAGACAAUGGGGGCAACCCUGAUCUAGCCAUGCCGCGUGAGUGAUGAAGGCCUUAGGGUUGUAAAGCUCUUUCAGCUGGGAAGAUAAUGACGGUACCAGCAGAAGAAGCCCCGGCUAACUCCGUG